rnacentral:rRNA from 2 species
ACGACUCUCGGCAACGGAUAUCUCGGCUCUCGCAUCGAUGAAGAACGCAGCGAAAUGCGAUACUUGGUGUGAAUUGCAGAAUCCCGUGAACCAUCGAGUUUUUGAACGCAAGUUGCGCCCAAAGCCUUCCGGCCGAGGGCACGUCUGCCUGGGUGUCACGCAACA